rnacentral:rRNA from 1 species
GAUCCCUAGCUGGUCUGAGAGGAUGACCAGCCACACUGGAACUGAGACACGGUCCAGACUCCUACGGGAGGCAGCAGUGGGGAAUAUUGCACAAUGGGCGCAAGCCUGAUGCAGCCAUGCCGCGUGUAUGAAGAAGGCCUUCGGGUUGUAAAGUACUUUCAGCGAGGAGGAAGGCAUUAAGGUUAAUAACCUUAGUGAUUGACGUUACUCGCAGAAGAAGCACCGGCUAACUCCGUGCCAGCAGCCGCGGUAAUACGGAGGGUGCAAGCGUUAAUCGGAAUUACUGGGCGUAAAGCGCACGCAGGCGGUCUGUCAAGUCGGAUGUGAAAUCCCCGGGCUCAACCUGGGAACUGCAUCCGAAACUGGCAGGCUAGAGUCUUGUAGAGGGGGGUAGAAUUCCAGGUGUAGCGGUGA